GAUGAAGAACGCAGCGAAAUGCGAUACGUAAUGUGAAUUGCAGAAUUCAGUGAAUCAUCGAAUCUUUGAACGCACAUUGCGCCCUCUGGUAUUCCGGAGGGCAUGCCUGUUCGAGCGUCAUUAAAACUACUCAAGCUAAGGUUUUACCUUCUGCUUGGUCUUGGGUUUGAGGAUUCAAAAUCCUCUCUCCGAAAUCCAGUGGCGAAUUGUUUGAGCUGUAGACGUAGUAAAUCAUUCUACCCGUUGCAAGCGAGAAUAAUAUUCAGCCAUAACCCCCAUACUUUUCUAGUUUGACCUCGGAUCAGGUAGGGAUACCCGCUGAACUUAAGCAUAUCAAUAAGCGGAGGA
rnacentral:misc_RNA from 1 species